rnacentral:rRNA from 1 species
UGGAUCCAGACUUUGAUUAUGGCUCAGGAUGAACGCUAGCUACAGGCUUAACACAUGCAAGUCGAGGGGCAGCGGGAUUGAAGCUUGCUUCAAUUGCCGGCGACCGGCGCACGGGUGAGUAACGCGUAUCCAACCUUCCGUACACUCAGGGAUAGCCUUUCGAAAGAAAGAUUAAUACCUGAUAGUAUCUUAAGCACACAUGUAAUUAAGAUUAAAGAUUUAUCGGUGUACGAUGGGGAUGCGUUCCAUUAGGUAGUAGGCGGGGUAACGGCCCACCUAGCCAACGAUGGAUAGGGGUUCUGAGAGGAAGGUCCCCCACAUUGGAACUGAGACACGGUCCAAACUCCUACGGGAGGCAGCAGUGAGGAAUAUUGGUCAAUGGACGAGAGUCUGAACCAGCCAAGUAGCGUGAAGGAUGAAGGUCCUACGGAUUGUAAACUUCUUUUAUAAGGGAAUAAACCCUCCCACGUGUGGGAGCUUGUAUGUACCUUAUGAAUAAGCAUCGGCUAACUCCGUGCCAGCAGCCGCGGUAAUACGGAGGAUGCGAGCGUUAUCCGGAUUUAUUGGGUUUAAAGGGAGCGCAGACGGGUCGUUAAGUCAGCUGUGAAAGUUUGGGGCUCAACCUUAAAAUUGCAGUUGAUACUGGCGUCCUUGAGUGCGGUUGAGGUGUGCGGAAUUCGUGGUGUAGCGGUGAAAUGCUUAGAUAUCACGAAGAACUCCGAUUGCGAAGGCAGCACACUAAUCCGUAACCGACGUUCAUGCUCGAAAGUGUGGGUAUCAAACAGGAUUAGAUACCCUGGUAGUCCACACGGUAAACGAUGGAUACUCGCUGUUGGCGAUAUACUGUCAGCGGCUUAGCGAAAACGUUAAGUAUCCCACCUGGGGAGUACGCCGGCAACGGUGCAACUCAAAGGAAUUGACGGA